rnacentral:piRNA from 1 species
AUGAGUGGGAUCAAAUGGAUUGAGA